ensembl:lncRNA
GAAUGGAAUCCGGCCAUGAUGUCAGACAAUUCAUUCAUCCCAAAUGGAACAUUAUUCCCUACGUUGCACUCCUGUUUAGCAGAGGCCCUAUGGCAAAAGCAACGCAAUAAAAUAGGGCAUAGGCUGCCAUUCGGGACACACACAGACAACAUUCUCUGUAACCUGCAAGCAGUCAUUUCCAUCUACUGUUCUGUACUGCUUAAUGCUGUCAGACAACUCUACAGUACCUUGACAAGAGGUCUCAAUCUUUAUGGAAUAGAACGUAGUUCACAUGAUCUGGAACUGCAGAGUUACUGGUUCAAGUUCUCUUCCACUUCUUGUAUGAUGGAAGGAUGGUUGGGUGGAUGGAUGGAUGAAGGAAGGAUGGUUGGGUGGAUGGAUGGAUAAAGGAAGGAUGGUUGGGUGGAUGGAUGGAUGAAGGAUGGAUGGCUGGGUGGGUGGAUGGAUGAAGGAAGGAAGGAUGGUUGGGUGGGUGGGUGGAUGGAUGAAGGAAGGAUGGUUGGGUGGGUGGAUGGAUGGAUAAAGGAAGGAUGGUUGGGUGGAUGGAUGAAGG